rnacentral:ncRNA from 1 species
AUCGUGGUGAUUUGUUCGACCGGAUUGCGACCACGUUAAAUAAACAAGCUAAAAGGUCGGAGCGAA